CUUUCAGUUGUAUUAGUACUAGGAAACCAAAAUGACAGCUUGGAGCUUGAGAAAGAUCACACGAUUACUAUAAUUAAGUUUGUGGGUAGGGUCUUGUAAUGAGGAUGUUGGAAUUGAUGGUUAGACCUUGUUCCUCAGAAUUGAAAAGCUAAGAGGGUUAGUAUGUUAUGCCAGAGUGGCUAUUAGCUGUUACAAAGCCCAGGUUUUGGAAUAAUAAGAUAAUUAAAGUUCUUAUUCGUUAAAUGAAAUAUGAUCUACAAUGGUCCACCUAAUCUUGCUGUAGAGUAAGGUGAAAUUCUUAAGGAUUUAUUCCCAGUAUGUGGGAGGAAUUAAGUUUUUAUCAUUGUUUCAAAGUGAAGGAAGUAUGGCAGAGCAUACUUUCACAUCCAGUGAUAAUUUUAUGAAAAGAAUUAAAAAAGCAGAGUUUCUUCUUGUUAACCACAGUGUAUUCACCCAAGCUGUGAUGGAUAAGGAACAGCAGAUCAUUGACUGGAAAAUGUACAGGUGUCAAGAUAGAUCUAAGUAGAUUAUAAUUAGUGGUGUGAUACAGUCACCUUCUAGCAAAAGAUCUUGGUGUGCUCAAAGGUUCAUCCGUCUCUGUUGCAACAGCAGCCAUAUAAAAUUGCUUAAUACCGUCAUGUGCAGUACAGCAAAUUAUUCCCAGUAUUUGUAGCAUUCUAGAUGCCCUAAAGGGACUGUUGUAUUUAAAUAAAAGAAAGCAAUAUUGCACAAGUAGUUGUUGCAGGUCAAGUGGGCACUGGAAAAUUACAAUGCCACUGAAAAUAUAUAAACAAAAGAUGAAAAUGAAAAAGUCAGUGAAUGUACAAUUUGGGCAAUACAUUUGAUUCAGAAAAGUUGAAGAGAGAUUUUAAAUAUUGUAGCUGUGGUGGACAAAGUUAAUGAACAGUUCAUGUUCGUGUUGGGAACAAAAUAAACAACAUACAAACCUUAUAUGUGAUGAGGUCCUUGCUAGAGGGAAAGCAGUGAAGCGUAGAGCAAGAAAGGUAUGUCUUGAUGUAGUUUGGUUUGGGAACAUCUCACACUUGUUGUUUGGAGUCAACAACUACUGUUAAUGGUCUGUAGCAGGGAAAGCAUCGUGUCGCAUUCAGUUUCACGCAACAGGAAUUGAUAAUUUCUACACAGGAGUCUUAAAGCUGGGGAGGUCUGUGUUGAUUUUGGGAUUUGCCAGCUACUGGGAUAUUGCCAAGGAAACUGCUUUAUUUAAAACGUAAAAAGAGGAUCACUCAAGAAGAAAUUUGUCAUGGUGAGAGGAAUGAUUCAGGAGAGGACUGUCUAGUCAUCACAGGAAGAAUAUGGACACUUCAGAGGGAGUUUAAAGGAAAGAGAACUAAAAAUAUUUCUGAAGAUGCAGAGCAAAUUGCAGGAUGGGAAGCUUAAGGAUGCCAAGAUUAAGAAGUGACUUAGAAAAUAUCUCCUCAGGGGGUGACUGCAGUAUAAAUAAAGCAGUGAUGCCUGUGUUAGUUUGGAAUUUAUCUGCAUCUUAUCUGAAGUUAUAUUUCCUCACCUGCUGUUUUAAUUUGAGCAAACUCAAUUUCCAACCACUAGCUCUUAUGCUAUGAAGUUCAUCUACAUUAGCUUUUUUAUGUGCCACUGUCUCUACACAUUGAUCAAAGGUUAAUUUGCAGUAAAGUGAAACAUACAAUUGCUAACUAGCCAGCCCACGUUUAAAUGAAUUUCUAAUCCCACAUUGGAACUCACUCUGGGCUGCCCAGUCUGUCUGAUGAGCAGUGUGUGGUUUACUGGUGCAAGGAGAGAAGGACAAUUUAAAAUAGAAAAGCAGCUAUUGAAUUCUACUUAAUUCAAACACUGUAUAGCUACCGAUCA